UAAGUUUCGAUUUUGUUUCCUCACAGGCUUCCGAUUUUCUUUCACUCACUCUGACUGUCUGUGGCACACUUUCUUUACAAGCCUGCUAUUUGUAUUGUUCUCUGCAGAAUAACCUUCUCCAUUAUGGCUUCCGUCGUGUCUUCCCUGGGCAGUAAGAAGAAGGUCAGGCUGCAGAAGUUUUUCUCCAGUCCUGUUCAUUUUUUUCUUCUGUACAAGAGCAAACAUUUUAAGAACACCUUCGAUCAGCUCCUCUCCAGCUUCGACAACUCUGGCAAAUUUUUGCUCUCAGUGUUUCUGAAGUCAGGGUCAGUCAGAGGAGCUUUCAUGAGUAAGUCCCUGAGACGUGGGACUGAGUUUUCUGACACAGAGGCAUUUGUGUUUGAGAUGGAUGAGAAUGAUGCCAAACAUUUUCUGGUGAAAAACCCCGCAGAAGCUAUCAGGGUCGGCGAACAAUCUUCAGUUCAAUACAGUGGGCUCAGGUUUGAAACUUCUCAGAGUUCAGAUUCUAUCUCUUUUGGAAGCUGCUUAAAGUUAAGGUUGGAUAAUGGAGUCUGGUAUGUGAGCUUCUGCACAGACAUGACCUGUGGCACAAAAUGGGCACAGGAGAAAAACAUUCACUAUGUAGAUGUGGAGCUGCACCGUGUCGAAGAUGUGGGUGAUGUUUUACCCAACCCUUGGAGAGAGGUAUCCUGGAAUGAUGAGACAAGGGACAAUCUGAGGAAAGAUUUUGUCUCUUACAAGCUGUUGUUGAAGUCUCUACCCCGGGUGAAGGCUUUACUCUUGGGCCCAGUGGGUUCUGGGAAGUCCAGCUUCAUCAACUCUCUCAGAUCCACAAUGUACAAGCGCAUCGUACAUCUGCCCAACAUCGGCACAGCAGUGGAUGGGUUCACCCAGAAGAUGACAACUUACAAUAUUCGAGUAAAUCAAGGAGGGUUUGAAAGUGCUCUGAGCCUUUGUGACGUGAAGGCAAUAGGAGACGACGACUCUACUGGUCUCUCUUACUCUGAUGCACUGGCUGUCAUCAAAGGCCACAUCCCAGAAGGAUACAAGUUCCAGAGAGGUGUUACAGUCAGUGAUGCAGUAAGUGGCUACAUAGAAAAUCCCACCCUGAAUGAGCAGAUUCACUGUGUCCUCUUUGUGCUUGACGCCUCCAAAGUGACAUCAUACCCCAGUAGCCUGCAGUCCACACUCAAGAAGCUGCAUUCUACCAUAUCAGACAUGGGCGGCCGUGUUACGACAUGGUGGUUUUGCAUUCACGUCAGUGAAUCAGGAAGCAGUCCUUUGGCGUGAUUCCUCGGUUGAGAAGACUUUAAAACGUUUGUUUGUUUUUUUUAAACAAAAUGGAUGCAAGUUUCUAUUUUUAUUCUAGGCGGCUCAAGUUGCUGAUUGAAGAUCCCGUUCCUUACAUCAAAGAGGGUGACCCUUCUGCCUCAUGCCUGUUUAUCAAUACUUGUGUCCCAGACUCAAUUAUAGCUGCUAAUCAUACAGCGUCCAUCAAAGAUCUAACUGUAGAAGAUCUCUUAAAUAAAGAUGACUUUUUCAACAAGUUGCUGUCUUUGUUAAAAGAAAAAAAAUAUAUUGAGGCUCGAAAGCACUUUGUGAAAGAGCUGCAUCCGGAUAAAAUUAACCUUUUUGGCACUGUUAAAGAUUAUUUACCACUGUUUGAUAAAUUGGCAUGUGCAGAAAUAACUUACAAUCAAAAUCCUCCAAAUGACAGCGCCAUCUAUAAAGAAAUACCCAGCAUACUUAAAAAAUGUGGUGACGUAAUUGUUUUGGGCAACCCAUCUGAUCCUACUCUACUUCUGGUUCAUCGUGACGUUAACAAUGCUCUGUACCGAGAUUAUAAGAGUACUGAACCGCCACUCAGUGUCGAUGAUGAGAAGAAAAGGACCUUUAUGCUUCAGUUUUUGCUGCUUGGGAAAGAAGAGCACAUGACUACCUGUUUCAGCUCCUUCGACGGCAUGUGGCAUCUAUAUGACAACGAUCCAAGAAAGCCUUCAUUUCAGCCUUUCGACCUUGAGAGUCUGAAAGACUAUGAUAUUUGUUUGGCUGGAUACGUCAACAUAAGCCAAGAGCAGGAAUGUAAACUUGGCGUUGCUGAGACUGGAGUAGGAGCAAAACCUCACUUUUCACAUUUAGAGAAAGCGCAAGAGGAUCCAUCCAGAAACUUCUAUCCACAACAGUCAGUGGUAGAUGUAGAAAUGGAAGAUCUGAGCGGUACCAUCUCUUACUCUGUAGCUGAUACUGGAGGCGGGAGACUGGGAGCAAAGCCUUUUAUAGAGGACACAGAAAUGCCAUCCUGCAGCAGCUCUGAUUCGGAUUAAAUAGACAGGAAUUUUUAUUUUAUUUCAUUUUUUUUUAUCACUUGGCAUUGUUAUAUAUUGUUAUUUUACUUUGUUGCUUUUUUUUUUUCCAUCAGUUAGGUGGGAAGGACCCCAAGUCUGCUGGGGGGGCCUGGACCUCUUUAUGUUGAUUUUAUGAUUUGCUGCCUAGUCAACGUGUUUUAUUGCUCUGUUUUGUUUCAAUAAAAGUUGUGUCUUUCC